GUAAGUCGUGGAUAAGAGCGUCUGCUAAAUGACUUAAAUGUAAAUGUAAAUAUUGGUAUGGCUUUGAACUCCUGUACUAUGAUGGCAUGUAAAACUCUCAGUGUGUGGACAGCAUUCUUCUUCUGCAAUUUUCCAGUUGAAUGAGUGGUGAAGGUACCAACGUUCCAACAACUGAUGGGCACGCUCACGGCGGCCUCCAGGGUGACACCUUUAGGCCUCCUGUCUUUAAGACUACUACAAGUGUGGUUUAAUGACCUCCGCCUGGACCCCAAGUGGGACAGAAACACCAAAAUGCAGGUGACAUGGGCAUGCUACUCUACUCUGCGGCCAUGGAGGAAGAGAACCUACCUGACUACAGAUGUCCCUCUUGGAUCAAUUCCGGUAAGGCAGGAACUGACAACCGACGCUUCACUAACAGGCUGGGGAGCACUGUGGCAACACGGGUCUGUAUGGGGAGAGUGGCUCCCACGCUGGAGAAAAAUGCACAUCAACGUGCUAGAACUUCAGACAGUUUACCUAGCCCUGAAUCACUUUCUGCCGGUUCCUGAUACAAUCAGACAAUACAUUGACAGUGUUCCACAUCAACCAUCAAGGGGGAAUGAGGUGGCCCAACAACUUCUGACAUGGGCCCUACGAGCCAUUCAUCUCCCGGGCAAGGUGAACGAGGUGGCGGACUUCUUGUCGUGACAGAAAACGGCCCCGGGAGAAUGGAGACUUCACCCGCAAGUAGUGAAGAUGAUAUGGCAGCGGUUUGGAACUGAACAUGUGGACCUGUCUGGGCGAGAACUUGGGAUCUGCGAAAACCUCCCUUCGAACAUACGGAGGAGUCAGACAUAAAAUGGUUACGUUCUGAAAAUGGUUUUCCUCUUAGCUAUUUCAUCAGCGAAACGUGGGAGUGAGCUCCACGAACUCUCUAUGAGUCCUGUCUGCAUACCAUGGAAGGCCUUAUGGUCCUAUCCAGCCUUUUUCCUAAAUGUAUCACCCCUUCACAUCAAGCCAUCGAGCUGGCGGCCUUCUUCCCUCACUCCUUUCCAGAAUGCGGAGGAGAAGCGAGCAAAUCUCCAGUGUCCGGCCUGUUCCAUCAAAUGCUAUAUGCAAGUCUUGGAGCACUACAGGAAAUCAGCCUAGCAGUUCCUGUGCUUCGUUGGGAAGUCAAAAGGUCUUGCAUUGUCCAAGCAGAGGCUUUCUCACUGGGUUGUGGAUGUCAUUGCUCAGGCCUACAAGGGUAUAGGGCUCCCUGUCCCAGAAAGUGUGAUAUAUUACUGGAACAGAAGUGUUGUCACAUCUUGGGCUGCACUGAGAGGCGGCCCCCUGAAUGAGAUAUGCACAGCUGCUGUCUGGUCAUCGCACUGCACGUUCUCAAGAUUUUACAAGGUCAACGUUGCAUCUUGCCACAACAUGGGGUCUGCCAUUCUUCCAGUGGCACCGGCACAUUAAUCAGAGGUUAGUAGUGCUAUUCCUUGCGACCUUGUUGGCAUGUCUGACAGUCUUCCAAGUAUUUGUAGAACCAUAUUUACAUUCUUAACUUCCGUUCUACUUCAUACAUAUAAAACAAAAGUCACCAAUGAAACUAUGGUUCUACAAAUACCUGGAAGAUCGUCAGUACUUUCCUGUCACUCUGAAUGUUUGGGCGAGAAAAUUCUCUAAAACAGUGUGUGAUCUGACGCACAGUUUAAAUGAACAGUGGGGGCACGUCCCCGUAUUAUUAUCUUUAUUCAUAUUAUUACCGACCUACGCGGAGAUUGAGAGAUAUAAUCCAUCUUCCAGGUGUUCGUUGAACCAUAGAUACAUCCGUUUUUCCGGAUUAAAAGGAAAUGGAGCUAAGCACAGGCAAAGUUCUAGAGGGAAACCUGGUUCAGUCUGCUUUCCAACAGACACUGGGAGAUUAAUUCAUGUUUCUGCAGGAUAAUAAACCUAAACUACACAGGAGCUGCUUACCAAGGAGACAGUGAAUGUUCCUGAGUGGCUGUGUUACAGUUUUGACUUAAAUCUACUUCAAAAUCUAUGGCAAGACUUAAAAAUGGUUGUCUAGCAAUGAUCAACAACCAAUUAUUUGCCAGAGCUUGAAAAGAAUAGUGGGCAAAUAUUGCACAAUCCAGGUGUGGAAAGCUCUUAGAGACUUACCCAGAAUGACUCACAGCUGUAAUCGCUGCCAACGGUGCUUCUACAAAGUAUUGACUCAAGGGUGUGAAUACUAUGUAAAGUAGAUAUUUAUGUAUUGUAUUUUAAAUAUAUUUGCAAAAAUGUCAAACAUGUUUUGAAUUACCGUCAUUAUGCAGUAUUGUGUGAGACAAAAACUAUAUAAAAACUAUAUAAUCCAUUUUGAAUUCAGUGGAAAACACAACAACAAAUGGAAUAAGUCAAGGGGUAUGAAUAUUUUCUGCAAAUGUUCUGCAAAUAUUGCACAAUCCAGGUGUGUAAGUCUUAGACACUUACCUAGAAAGAGUCACAGCUGUAAAUGCUGCCGAAGGUGAUUCUAACAUGUAAGGGGAAUUAAUACUUUCUGAAGGUCAAAUUGUGUCCAACUCAUGUAUUGAUUUCUGCAAAAUAAGUGUAUUGUAAAAAUGUUAAGUCGAGCACAGGUUUUAAGAAUUUUUCGUAUAGGAUUUGGACAAUUGGAACGAUUCCAUGUUCCCAUGAUAAAACAUCAUGACUGAGAUGGAGGAGAUGUGACUGUGCUUUCUGCAUCCCCAGGUGUCAGUAUGUUACGUCAGCUCCAGGCCACACUCCUCAAACCUGGACCACCAGGGUCUGGUCUUCAGCGGCCUGCUGCUCUACCUGUGUGACUCCUUCGUUGUCUCUGGCCUCCUCAAGAAGUUUCACUUCCUCAAAGGUGCCACAUUGUGUGUGAUCUGCAGGGACCGUAACUCUCUGCGUCAGACCAUCAUGCGGCUGGAGUUGGAGGACAAGUGGCAGUUCCGCCUGAGGGAUGAGUUCCAGACGGCCAACUGCAGCGAGGACCGGCCCCUCUACUUUCUCACCGGACGCCAUGUUUAACCCUAAGACUGAUGCCAGACCUGCUCAGCUGCCCUCCUGUUCCAUAGACCCUAACCAGGCAGAAGGAUAACCACCAACCACUGAUCUCAGACCAGUUAACAAUCACAAUUAUUCUUGUCUGUCAGAGGAUACAAUCACUCUUAGAACUGUUCAGCCGACCUCCUGUCACACAGACCCUAAUCAAACAGGAGGAUAGCAUCUGUUCUCAGACCACUUAACAAGCACAACAAUUCUCUGUAUGUCAGGAGAUCAGAGAGAUGUAUUGGGGCACACCCAGGCCCCAAGUGCCCUGUAUGGACACGUGGCCAUCAUCAAUGUGGAUGUAACUUCUCCUAUACGCUCCUCUCCCACGCUGCACUAUGUUCGGAACAGAAUUGUUUAGCCAGAGACUCUUAACUGAGGCUUGUGUUGGAGUCUGUCCCUGAUCUGAGCCUGGCGAAAGCACACCAUGCGAUUAUCUGAGGACAGCGCCCCACAUACAAAACCAUGAAAAACAUAUUUCAACCAGGCAGGUGCGACACAAAAGUCAGAAAUAGCGAUAUAAUAAAUGCCUUACCUUUGAUGAUCUUCUUCUAUUGGCACUCCAAAAUGUCCCAGUUACAUCACAAAUGGUCCUUUUGUUUGAUAAUGUCCUUCUUUAUAUCCAUAAAAACUAAGUUUAGCUGGCGCGCAUCAGUCAAUAAUCCUCCCAGUUUCCCUCCAUCAAAAUGCAUACAAAAUUAAUCCCAAAUGUUACUUAGAAACUUUUCCAAACAAGUCAAACAACGUUUAUAAUCAAACCUUAGGUUCCCUAAUACGUAAAUAAACAAUAACGAUUCUCCGUCUUAAAUUUUAUUGUCUUUACCGGAGAAAAAUACCAAAGACCGUGCUCUCAUUCACAUACUUGGAAACACUACAGCCAACUUCAAUUUCUGGGUCAUUUUUUUAAAAAAACAGCCUGAAACUCUUUCUAAAGACUGUUGACAUCUAGUGGAAGCCCUAGGAACUGCAAUAUGGGAGGAUUUCACCUUAUAAUAAAAGUGACAGCCAUUGAAAAGUGGUAGGCUGAAAAAAUAUGUUUUUGGUAUGGUUUGUCCUCUGGGUUUCGCCUGCCAUAUCAGUUCUGCUAUACUCACAGACAUUAUUUUAACAGUUUUAGAAACUUUAGAGUGUUUGCUAUCCAAAUCCAAAUGCAUAUCCUAGCUUCUGUGCCUGAGUAACAGGCAGUUUACUUUGGGCACGCUUUUCAUCCGGACGUCAAAAUACUGCCCCCUAUCCCAAACAAGUUUAAACUCUUUCUUGAACUGCAUUGUUGGUUAAGAAAAUAUUUACUAAAUAAACUAAAGUAAAAAAUUAUAAAAAGUAACACGAACAAUAACAAGGCUAUAUACAAGGGGUACUGGUACUGAGUCAAUGUGCAGGUUAGUCGGGGUAAUUUGUACAUGUAGGUAUGGGUAAAGUGACUAUGCAUAGAUAAUAGACAGUGACAUAGCAGCAAUGAAAAAAACUAAUGGGGGGUUGGCAAUGUAAAUAGUCCAGGUGGCCAUUUGAUUAAUUGUUCAGCAGUCUUAUGGCCUGGGGGUAGAAGCUGUUAAGGAGCCUUUUGGUCCAAUACUCGGUGCUCCGGUACCGCUUGCCGUGCGGUAGCAGAGAGAACAGUCUAUGACUUGGGUGACUGGAGUCUUUGACAAUUCUUAGGGCCUUUCUCUGACACCGCCUAGUAUAUAGGUUUUACAUGGCAGGAUGCUUGGCCCCAGUGAUGCACUGGGCCGUACGCAAUACCCUCUGUAGCACCAUACUGUCAGAUGCCGAGCAGUUGCCAUACCAGGCGGUGAUUCAACCGGUCAGGAUGCUCUCGAUGGUGCAGGACACAUGCCAAAUCUGUUCAGUCUCCUGAGGGGGACAAUGUGUUGUCGUGCCCUCUUCAUGACUGUGUUGGUGUGCUUGGAACAUGAUAGGUGGUUGGUGAUGACACAGAGGAACUUGAAUCUCUCGACCCAAUCCGCUACAGCCCCGUCCAUGCCAAUGGGGGCCUGUUCGGCCCGCCUUUUUUGUAGUCCAUGAUCAGCUCCUUUGUCUUGCUCACAUUGAACGAGAGAUUGUUGUCCUGGCACCACACUGCCAGGUCUCUGACCUCCUCCCUUUAGACUGUCUCAUUGUUGUCGGUGAUCAGGCCUACCACUGUUGUGUCAUCAGCAAACUUAAUGAUGUUGUUGGAGUCGUGUUUGGCCACGCAGUUGUGGGUGAACAGGGAGUACAGGAGAUGACUAAGCACGCACCCCUGAGGGGCCCCAGUGUUGAGGAUCAGCAUGGCAGAUGUGUUGUUGCCUACACUUACAAUUUGGGGAAGGCAUGUCAGGAAGCCCAGGAUCCAGUUGCAGAGGGAGGUGUUUUGUCCCAGGGUCCUUAGCUUAGUGAUGAGCUUUAUCCAGGUGGGAAAGGGCAGUGUAGAGUGUGAUUGAGAUUGCGUAGUCUGUGGAUCUGUUGGUGCGGUAUGCGAACUGGAAGUGGGUCUAGGGUUUCUGGGAUGAUGGUGUUGUGAGCCAUGACUAGCCUUUCAAAGCAAUUCAUGGCAACCGACGUGAGUGCUAUAGGGAGGCAAUCUUUGAGGCAAAUUAUCGUCUCUUCCUUGGGUACAGGGACCAUGGGGGUUUGCUUGAAACAUGUAGGUAUUACAGAUCAGUCCAGGAGAGGUUGAACAUGUCAAUGAAGACACUUGCCAGUUUGUUCUUAUAAGCAUCCGGAUUAGUGUCCUGCUCCUUGAAAGCGGUAGCUCUAGCCUUUAGCUCGAUGCGGAUGUUGCCUAUAAUCCAUGGCUUCUGGUUGGGAUAUGUACGGUUGCUGUGGGGAUGACGUUGUCGAUGCAGUUAUUGAUAAAGCCGGUGACAGAGGUGGUAUACUCCUCAAUGCCAUUGGAUGAAUCCCGGAAUAUAUGCCAGUCUGUGCUAGCAAAACAGUCCUGUAGCGUAGCAUCUGCGUCAUCUGACCACUUCCGUAUUGAGCAAGUCACUGGUAUUUCCUGCUUUAGUUUUCGCUUGUAAGCAGGAAUCAGGAACCACUAGGAAAGCCGCUUCUGCAUGAGCAUUUUCUUGUUUACUUAUGGCCUUAUACAGCUCGUUGAGUGCAGUCUUAGUGCCAGCAUCAGUUUGUGGUGGUAAAUAGAUGGCUACGAAUAAUAUAGAUGAGAACUCUCUUGGUAGAUAGUGUGGUCUACAGUUUAUCAUGAGGUACUCUACCUUAAGAGAGCAAUACCUCGAGACUUCUUUAAUAUUAGACAUUGUGUACCAGCUGUUAUUAACAAAUAGACACACACACACCGGCCUCUCAUCUUACCACACGUAGCUCCUCUGUCCUGCUGAUGCACAGUUAUCCCAGCCAGUUCUAUAUGAUCUGUGUCGUCGUUCAGCCACGACUCGGUGAAAUAUAAUAUAUUACAGUUUUUAAUGUCCCGUUGGUAGGAUAGUCUUAAUCGUAGAUCAUCAAUUAUAUUUUCCAAUGAUUGCACGUUGGCCAAUAGAACGGAUGGUAGUUGACGUUUACUCACUCGCCUAUGAAUUCUCAGAAGGCAACCCGACCUCAGCUCCCUUUUUCUCCGUCUAUUCUUCACGCAAAUGACGGGGAUUUGGGCCUGUUCUCGAGAAAGCAGUAUAUCCUUUGUUGUCUAGUUCGAGGUGAGUAAUUGCUGUUCUGAUUAGAGACAGAAGCAUUAGAUAGAGGUGGCAGGGAAAGUUUGUUCUUUCUCUAACAUCUAGUUGUGAGAGCGACUAGGAUAUAUGCUAUAUUGAAUGUUCCUGUGGUCUUGAUUCUGAUUGUAAUAUUACUCAGUGCUAUAUUUCUGUGCUUCAUUGUAUAGAUAAGAUGGCUUAGGCCUCCACCCAUAUACCUGAAUUAAUUCAGUCAAAUCACUUACAGUUGCAGGUUUUCUCAUGAAACUAUGGAUAAUCAGUGAAUGGGUGUGUAGAGUCACUAUCAGAUGACUAGGUCAGUUGGACACAGGUAGGAAUGUUUUUAUAUGUUACUGCACAGGGUCAUCCAAAGAAUAUGCCUUAUUAAAUGAUGUUGUUACAUAGAUCAAUCACUCAAUCCUCACUAAUUUACAGUAAUAUUAUAGUAAGUCUUACAAUGGCCAUAGACCAAAGCUAGGGAGAGAAUUUGUCUGGUUGGGGGUGAGUUUAGGAAAUGGUUGAAUUUUAGGACAACUGUCUGUUAAAAGCUUUGUUUACAUUAAUAUAUUAAAUAAACCCUAUUACAACUCA